GGAGGAGUGGCUGAGCGGUCGAAAGCGGCGGUCUUGAAAACCGUUGACCCGCAAGGGUCCGGGGGUUCGAAUCCCUCCUCCUCCGCCA
rnacentral:tRNA from 1 species